CUCUAUGGGGCUGGACCCCCUGAUCGGGGGCUGAGCUCUCCUUUAUGGGGUCCCAGUCCCUGCUGUGGGGUUGGACCCCCUGCCACGGUGCUGAGCCCUCGUCUGUGGGGCUGAGCCCUCAUCUGUGGGGCUGAGCUCUCAUCUGUGGGGCUGAGCCCUUCUCUGUGGGGCUGAGCCUUUCUCCAUGGGGCUGAGCCCCACUGCUGUGGGCAACGUGGGACCGGCUCCCUCUCCAUGGGGCCGAGUCCCCGCUAUGGGGCCGAGUCCCCGCUAUGGGGCCGAGCCCCUCUCCAUGGGGCCGAGCCCCUCUCCAUGGGGCCGAGUCCCCGCUAUGGGGCCGAGCCCUUCUCCAUGGGGCUGAGUCCCUGCUAUGGGGCCGAGUCCCUGCUAUGGGGCCGAGCCCCUCUCCAUGGGGCCGAGCUCCUCUCCAUGGGGCCGAGCCCCCGCUAUGGGGCCACAGCCCCGUCCCUGGGGGCCGCGGGUGCCCCCCGGGCUCCCCCGGCCCCCCGGCCUGACCUCCUUCUCUCCCCAGCUACCGCCCGGCGCUGCCGACGGCCCAGCUGGGCCCACUUAUGGGGCUGGAGCCCCCCGAGCGCCGCCGCUUCCUGGGGGGGCUGCCCCUCACCUUCACCGGGCCCGACCGCGGCGCCAUCGACUGCCGGCAGAGCCUGGCGGCCCUGCCCCACAUCUGAGCCACCGCGACCCACGGCAGCCUCGGCACGGCCGUGGGCACAGGGAGGGACCCGUGGGGCGCGGAUCUGCCCCACGGCUGCUGCCCCACGGCCGCUGUAUCUUCCCCACGGCUGCUGCCCCAUGGCUGUGGUUGCCCCAUGGCCGCUGCGGAGGAGGGGAUUUGGGGUGGGGGAUUGACCUGUGGGGCUCAGAUCUGCCCCACGGCUGCUGCCCCACGGCUGCUGCCCCAUAACCAACUGCUGAGUACAGGAUUUGGGGUGGGGAACCGACUUGUGGGGCCUGGAUCUGCCCCACGGCCGCUGCCCCACGGCCGCUGCCCCAUAACCUUCUCUCCCCCCUCAGCAGCCACAGGAGGGGGGAUUUGGGGUGGGGACCGACGU
rnacentral:lncRNA from 1 species